rnacentral:tRNA from 1 species
UGAUUAGUAGUGUAUGGUGCACGCAGGCUUUUGAUCCCUGAAGAGAAGGUUCAACUCCUUUCUUAUCAA